rnacentral:rRNA from 1 species
GCAAAUUGUCACUGAGUCGAGUUGUUUGGGAUUGCAGCUCAAAUUGUACGGUGGUAAAUUCCAUCUCAAGCUAAAUAUUGGCGGGGGACCGAUAGCGUACAAGUACCGUGAGGGAAAGAUGCAAAGAACUUUGAAAAGAGAGUGAAAGAGUACCUGAAAUUGCUGAAAAGGAAGCGAACGAAGCUAGUGAAAGCUGCGUCAUACUUUCCAACUUGCUUGCAAUUUGGACGCUGUGGCCAGCCCAGUUGGGCUUGAUUGCAACGGGUGAAAGCAGGUAAAGAAAAGACUCCAUUUUCUCUCGCCCUACAUGCACCUAUUGCAUUUGAGCUGAACGAAAUAGCUUUGUU